NCCUNCCCCACAACUUAUGGUGUCGCGAAUUAGGUCGCCUAAGUUCAACCACCGGGCGGCAGCUGCUCGCCAUUGUUCCGCCAUCAAGGAAAACGACCAGGUGCCGCCAUCAAGGAAAACGACCAGGUGCCGCCAUCAAGGAAAACGACCAGGUGUCGCCACCAAAGGAAGGAAAAAGACCAGGUGUCGCCAUCAAGGNAAAAGACCGGGUGUCGCCAUAAAAGAAAUCGACCGAGUGUCGGCAUCAAGGNAAAAGACCAAGCGUCGGGGGACCCGUACACGCGGAAGGUUGGUGCUGACACUCGCACCAUGGUGAAAAACGCCACCUCCGCCCUUUGCAACCUGAGAAACGGUGCCGCCGACCCGAAACUUGACGAAGCGGCCCGCAGCCGAGAGUUGGCGGUCUCGGUGCAUGGCCGCCCCGGACCGAACACGGGGGCCUGGCAUGGUUCCGGGGGGUCGGGCCCAAGAAAGUGGUCGCACGGCCAAAGACGUGGGCGUCGCGGGACAAGUCCAACUCGGGAACGACGCGGCAAGAGUUGGCGGCGCGGACACUCACGGCGAGGAACGCCUUGAGUGCCCUUUGCAACCUGAGAAGCGGACUGGCGCGAAACGCGAAAAAUGACCCGCCGCUGCCCAAAGUUGGCCGUAUCAUCGCAUGGCCGCCGCGGCCCCAACACUUUGGGCUUUGGUUCUUUGGGCGUUGGGAUCUGGGCUGCGAAACGUGAAGGAACACUCUAGGCGGAAGGAUGGCUUUGGUAGGCUAGAGGGACGCAGUAACUUGUGACUUUGGAUCUUGGGCGCUGGGCUGCGAAACGUGAAGUAACCGCGGCACAAGGAUGUCCCUUUUCUCGACCCACCGGGCACCGUAAGGCACAGGGAUGCUUGUACGGUUUGAACGUCGUGGCUACGCUGGCGCAUGAGUUGUCACCGUCAUGUUGCCCCGGAAAUCCUUUGUGUUGCCAUUGUCACUCCCGCGCGCUGUGGGCCUUCGGACGCCGUACGUUUAGUAGGCAUGGCCGUGCUUAAUUUUGAAGGAAACAAUGUGGGUUGCCCUCCCCGGGUAAAGUAAGGCUGGUCGGUCCGCGAAGUUCCUGCCGCGGCGGAAGGUGUUUGCCCAUUUUGGACCGUUCGGCAGGGGCGGGGCAACGUAGUGUUGGCGGGUUGGCAGGGAACCCGCGGGGGGAUGGGCCCCCCGGGUGUAGUAGGGGGAGGCGCUCCCCCGACGGGCCGCGGCCGCGGCAGAAGCGCGGCAGAACGGUUUCCAUUUUCUCGACCCGUGAAGCUCUUCGGUUGCUAAUUUUGAUGGAAACCACGUUGUCUUGCCCCAUCGGGUAACGUAAGAAGGGAAGGAUAGGCGGGCGCGGCAGAAAUCCUGCCGCAGCAGCACUGCGGUGUCAGUUUUCCGUCCCCGUGACUUUGUUGGGAUGCCUCGGGAAUGCUUUGUGUUGCCGUCGUCACUUUCGCGCGCUGUGGCCCUUGGGACGCCGUACGUUUAGUGGACCCGCCGUGCUCUGCACGUUGGGCAGCGCAUGAGUCGUCUUCGACCAGUGUCUGCCGGCAGAUCCCCCGCCGUUGUGCGGCCGACUCCCGGCGCCUGUGUCCUAUCGGCGUUGCACGGACGGCUUUUACUUUGCUGCGUUACCGGAAAGUGCUCGCGUGAUGGCCGCUGACCAACGGGAAGUCGUUCGUCGUACUGAGUUGCCUUGCGGUGGACGCCCGUUGGUGUUCCGCCGCGGCCGAAUUGCGUCGUGGAGCCGUACACGCGGUAGGCGGGCGCGGCACAAACCCUGCCGCGGCUUGACUGAGGUGUCCGUUUUUCGCCCCUGUGACUUUGUUGAGAAGCCUAUUUCGAGGGAAACAACUCUGUUUGACCCGACGGGUAAAGCAACUCCGGCGUGCGCUGCAGGAAUCAGGCGGCGGCAUAAGGUUGCCCGUUUUUCGGCGCCUUGACUUUGUUGGGAUGCUUAAUUUGAAGGAAACAAUGUGGGUUGCCCUCCCCGGGCAAAGUAAGGCUGGUCGGUCCGCGAAGUUCCUGCCGCGGCAGAAGGCGUUUGCCCAUUUUCGACCGUUCGGCAGGGGAGAGGCAACGUAGUGCUGGCGGGUUGGCAGGGAACCCGCGGGGGGAUGGGCCCCCCGGGUAUAGUAGGGGGAGGCACUCCCCCGACGGGUCGCUGCCGCGGCAGAAGGGCGGCAGAACGGUUUGCAUUUUCUCGACCCGUGAAGCCCUUCGGUUUGCUAAUUUUGAUGGAAACCACGUUGUCUUGCCCCCAUCGGGUAAACGUAAGAAGGGACGGAUAGGCGGGCGCGGCAGAAAUCCUGCUGCGGCCGGGUACUUCCUGCCGCAGCAGUAUUGCAGUGUCCGUUUUUCGGCCCCGUGACUUUGUUGGGAUGCCUCGGGAAUGCUUUGUGUUGCCAUCGUCACUCUCGCGCGCUGCGGUGUGGGCCUUCGGACGCCGUACGUUUAGUGGACCCGCCGUGCUCUGCACGUCGGGAUGCUUGCACGGUUCGACCGUCGUGGCUACGCUAGCGCAUGAGUUGUCUCUGUCAUGUUGCCUCGGGAAUCCUUUGUGUUGCCGUCGUCACUGCCGCGCGCUGUGGACCUUCGGACGCCGUACGUUCAGUAGACUCGCCGUGCUUUGCAUGGUGGGAUGCCCGUACGGUUUGACCGUCGUGUCUGCGCUAGCGCAUGGGUUGUCUGUGUCAUGUUGCCUCGGAAAUCCUUUGUGUUGCCAUCGUCUCUGCUGCUUGCUGUGGGCCUUCGGACGCCGUACGUUUAGUAGACCUGCCGUGCUCUGCACGGCGGGAUGUUUGUACGGUUUGAACGUCGUGGCUACGCUAGCGCAUGGGUUGUCUCUUUCACGUUGCCUCGGGAAUCCUUUGUGUUGCCUUCGUCACUCCCGCGCGCUGUGGACCUUCGGACGCCGUACGUUCAGUAGACCUGCCGUGCUCUGCACGGUGGGAUGCUUGCACGGUUCGACCGUCGUGGCUACGCUAGCGCAUGAGUUGUCUUUGACCAGUGUCUGCCGGCAGAUCCCCCGCCGUUGUGCGGCCGACUCUCGGCGCCUGUGUCCUAUCGAUGUUGCACGGACGGCUCUUACUUUGCUGCCUUACCGGAAUGUGCUUGCAUGAUGAUCCCUGACCAACAGGAAGUCGUGUGUCGUGUAGAGUUGCCUCGCGGUGGAUGCCUGCUGGUGUUCUGCUGUGGCCAAAUUGCGUUGGUGGUGUUACCUCGUGGAGCCUGCACGCUAUGCGCCUGGAGCUUCCGAGGACACCUCGCUUCCCGCUCUUGGUCUCGGAUGUCGCUCAUGAUAGAGGCUCGUGGCCCUUUGUCGUCGCGUCCCUUUCGGAAGCUCACUCAAUAGCCGACAGCUGCUCUGUUUGUGGCCGUUGCCAUGCCUUGUAAGCGGCUGGCAUGUGCGACUCUCGGUGUCGGCUUGUCGACGAGGACGUGCU
rnacentral:misc_RNA from 1 species